GUGAGGAAUAUUGGUCAAUGGGCGGAAGCCUGAACCAGCCAUGCCGCGUGAAGGACGAAGGCGUUCUGCGUUGUACACUUCUUUUAUAAGGGAAGAAACCUGCGAUGUCUAUUGCAGCCGACGGUACCUUAUGAAUAAGCACCGGCUAACUCCGUGCCAGCAGCCGCGGUAAUACGGAGGGUGCAAGCGUUAUCCGGAUUCACUGGGUUUAAAGGGUGUGUAGGCGGGCUUGUAAGUCAGGGGUGAAAUCCUACAGCUUAACUGUAGAACUGCCUUUGAUACUAUAGGUCUUGAAUAUUGUUGAGGUGGGCGGAAUACAUCAUGUAGCGGUGAAAUGCUUAGAUAUGAUGUAGAACACCGAUUGCGAAGGCAGCUCACUAAGCAAAUAUUGACGCUGGGGCACGAAAGCGUGGGGAUCAAACAGGAUUAGAUACCCGGGUAGUCC
rnacentral:rRNA from 1 species